GACGAACGCUGGCGGCGUGCCUAAUACAUGCAAGUCGAACGCAUUUUCUUUCACCGUAGCUUGCUACACCGAAAGAAAAUGAGUGGCGAACGGGUGAGUAACACGUUGGUAACCUGCCCAUCAGCGGGGGAUAACACUUGGAAACAGGUGCUAAUACCGCAUAAUUCCAUUUACCGCAUGGUAAAUGGAUGAAAGGCGCUUUUGCGUCACUGAUGGAUGGACCCGCGGUGCAUUAGCUAGUUGGUGGGGUAACGGCCUACCAAGGCUGCGAUGCAUAGCCGACCUGGGAGGGUGAUCGGCCACACUGGGACUGAGACACGGCCCAGACUCCUACGGGAGGCAGCAGUAGGGAAUCUUCGGCAAUGGACGCAAGUCUGAACGAGCAACGCCGCGUGAGUGAAGAAGGUUUUCGGAUCGUAAAACUCUGUUGUUAGAGAAGAACAAGGAUGAGAGUGGAAAGUUCAUCCCUUGACGGUAUCUAACCAGAAAGCCACGGCUAACUACGUG
rnacentral:rRNA from 1 species